rnacentral:rRNA from 1 species
UGGGGAAUAUUGGACAAUGGGCGAAAGCCUGAUCCAGCCAUGCCGCGUGUGUGAAGAAGGUCUUCGGAUUGUAAAGCACUUUAAGAUGGGAGGAAGGGCAGUAAGCGAAUACCUUGCUGUUUUGACGUUACCGACAGAAUAAGCACCGGCUAACUCUGUGCCAGCAGCCGCGGUAAUACAGAGGGUGCAAGCGUUAAUCGGAAUUACUGGGCGUAAAGCGCGCGUAGGUGGUUCGUUAAGUUGAAUGUGAAAGCCCCGGGCUCAACCUGGGAACUGCAUCCAAAACUGGCGAGCUAGAGUAGGGCAGAGGGUGGUGGAAUUUCCUGGGUAGCGGUGAAAUGCGUAGAUAUAGGAAGGAACACCAGUGGCGAAGGCGACCACCUGGGCUCAUACUGACACUGAGGUGCGAAAGCGUGGGGAGCAAACAGG